rnacentral:rRNA from 1 species
AUUGAACGCUGGCGGCAGGCCUAACACAUGCAAGUCGAGCGAGCGGCGGAAGGGUGAGUAAUGUCUGGGAAACUGCCUGACGGAGGGGGAUAACUACUGGAAACGGUAGCUAAUACCGCAUACCAUCAGAUUUGCCAAGAUGGGAUUAGCUAGUAGGUGGGGUAACGGCUCACCUAGGCGACGAUCCCUAGCUGGUCUGAGAGGAUGACCAGCCAAACUGGAACUGAGACACGGUCCAGACUCCUACGGGAGGCAGCAGUGGGGAAUAUUGCACAAUGGUCGCAGGCCGGAGGCAGCCAGGCCGCGUGUGUAAAGAAGGCCUUCGGGUUGUAAAGCACUUUCAGCGGGGAGGCGUUACCCGCAGAGGAAGCACCGGCAAACUCCGUGCCAGCAGCCGCGGUAAUAC